rnacentral:lncRNA from 1 species
CGCCCCUCCUGCUCCCGGCUUUCAUGUGGAUCAAGGCUGGAGGAUGACAAGCUCCUGACUGAUAGAUACAUGGAGACUUCGCUGGUGAUUUAUUGGCUUUCUGCACCUGACGAGAACCACUAGGCCUAUCUGAGGAGGGAAAUAUAUGGGCUUUCCUGACUCCAAGUGGCAGCCCCGGGGCGAGCAUGUGAUGUCAAGCUGGGCAGAGGAAAGCGGAGCUGUGCACCGGCCUGUGUACUGUAAGCCGGCCCGGGUCGUAAAAGUGUCAGCACGCGAUAUAUUUCUUGCAGGGGAUCCUCUCUGGCUCUUGCCAGCGCCUCUCCCCCGUGGCUGGCAGCCGCCCUAGCCGGGCCUGCAAACAGCGGAUGCCCCAGGUCGCUAUCCCUCCGCCCUGCCCCGGAGCGCCGGGCCCUCACGUUCUCGCUCCAGCCUGGGGUCUCUCACGUGGCAUCUGGCCCUGGGGACGGUGCAGCGGAGGAGUUAAUUGCUGUCACUCCUGACUUCAGCGAAAGAGGUCGAUCGUGGGGCUUCUUCCUCGGGGUUAGCAGGGGCCUGGAGUGGAUGUUUAGUCUACCGGUCAGACUCCAGGUCUUAUAUCUUGAAACUGUAAGUCCCUGAAUUCACAGACAAUUCAGAGUAAGGAUGGAGGCAAAGAAGAGGACCUUGGGUUUACUGUUCACGAGAUGACCUCAUAAAGGUGUUCAGUGAUGAAGAGGAGUGGCUGAAGAGAUGGCUGUCUAGAGUCAACACAAACCUACCCCAAAGUUUGACCUUUGCCUUAAGUCAGUAACUGAGGAGGGCCACGGUCCUGAGUUCAGUCCAGACCCCAGGAAGAUUCAGAGCCUGCAGUUGUCCUCUGGUUUCUAAAGUAUGUUAUUGGGCUAAAGAUUUCAAGACAUUUAUCCUUCUUUGCUUUCUAUCGCAGCCAUUAAAUGUUUUAGAUAUUUUCUGCCAGAAGGCAGGAAUCAUGAAGAUAACAAAUAUUAAAGACAAAACCAAAUAACUUUUAAUGAGAAGGUCAGUCCGUGGUUUGAGUCUUUGGAAAGAAAUCAAGAACUCUGACUAUACUUGCUAUUUGACCAUUGAUUCUCUAGUGGAAAUGGGCAAAUCUUUUAUACCAGGGCAAAUUUUUCAGUAACGGGCCAGACAGCAAAUAUUUUAGGAAUUGUGGGCCAUACAGUCUCUCUCCCAACUACUUAACUCUUCAGCAUAGCAUAAAAGCAGCCAUAAACAAUACUACAACAAGUAUGGCUGCAUUCCAAUAAAACUUUAUUUACAAAAAUAGGCAGCACGCCAGAUUUGGCCCACAAGCUAUAGCUUUCUGACCCCUGCUUUGCCAAACUCAAUAACAAACAGAGAGGGAGACUCUUUUAAAAAAAUUAUAUUCAUUUGGGAGUAGCAUUGCAAUGGGAAUACGUGUGCCAUAGCAAAUUAUGAGCGUAUUCAAAGAGAUUGGGGCAAGGGGAAGUUUAUAAAGGCAAAACGAAGAGGAUUACAAUUGUUCAAAUCAAUUAUCCUUGGCUACAAGGGUGGCACAAGUCCAAGCUUGAACAGGCAGUUGCUAGACAGACAUCCUUACAGAAGUAUUUUCUGUGUAAGGUUGCAGUGGUCUUUUUGCAAAGCUAUAGUAAAUCACAGGGGUCAGUACAACCGUAGUGCAAUGGAUAAGCCUUGCCCUCGGAAAAUCUUCGUGAUCAUGGUAUCUCCCCUGCCAAAUAAAUAUUGUGACAGUUCUUAUCAGGCAUUCAUGUGUAAGAACUCUCCCUUGAUGGCCUUCCCUGGCUCCAUUUGCCAGGGUUUUAACAUAAAUUACUCCAUUUUGAUUCGGACAACUUUCAUAACUGCUUACCAUCUGUGCCUCUGUGUAUAAAAGUGGACAUACUAAAAUUUUUCCUUAGGGCUACAACUAAACAUCCAGCCUAGCCCUUAGCCAGCACCAAGGAAGAGGCCUGGGGGAUAGAGGAACAAAUAAUGAGACCAAGUCAGGCCAUCCCCCAUGGGGUGAGGCCUGCAGGUAGGUGGGCCCAGUGUGGUGUACCUCUAGCACAGUGCCUGGCACAAAAUUGCAGUUUAUUUUCUGAAUAAAUAACUCUUGGAUCAAUUGGUUGCUCUCUGGGAAUGUGACUUUGCUGUUGAGUUGUGCAGAGUACUCUCUGUCUCCAAGCCAAUCCCAGCUUCAGUAUCUCACCCCACAAUCCACAUUUCCCAGUGUCUGGAGUAACAACAAUGACCUGGGGCUGGGCUCUCAGCAAGUCAAACCCUGCCUCAACAAACCCAAACUGCUUUGGGGACCAAUGUGAUGCAAAUGUGUACUGAAUCCCCUGAAUUCCCCCUGGUGAUCCUGUCCUGUAACAGGCCCUCCCCAUCCCCUCAGGCCAGUGCAUUCAGGAAAUCAGUGACCACAGGAUGGUUUCUCAGCUGGAGGGAAGGUCAGCCUGCAUCUGAGCAUCUUAGAACAUGUUAUUUUGUUCCCACUGGUCAAUCCCGUCCAAGCUGUACACAUAGUGCCUAAGCCACGUUUGUUACUGCAGGCCUGUCUUCGGAAAGGUCACUGAACAGAAGGAGGAGGCACCUUACUCUCUUUUGUUACGUCUUCACCACUUUUGUCUAAAGGGAAGUUUAGCUGGAGGGCUGAGCACGCAGACAGGUUUCUGACUGUGCCACAUAGAUCCCACAUUGCUUCUCUGCCAUGAUUUAUCAUCUGUGACUUGACAUGUUCUGCACACACGGGCAUGUUGUACACAUUGAGACAUGCUUCCUGCAUUCAAAGAUUUUCCCAUAUUGAGGGCAUUUUCCUGGUGCAGAAUUGAAGACUGAAUUGAGGCAUUCAGAUUGACCUCAACAUCUACGGGUCUGGAGGAGGUUUGGGACGUUUCCUUUUCUUCUCUUCAGGGGCCCACUCCUGUUGUAAAGAGCAGCAGCAUUUAUAAUGAGGGCCCAGGAAAUGCGGGGGAGAGGGGAGAGCCUGCUAUCUCUGCAGUGGGUGACUGUUGUUUCCCUGAUCAACAAUGUAUCAUAUCCCAGCCUAAGCCUGCCUUUCUCCUUCCCCCUCCACAUGGGGAGGGGCCGUGGGCUCAGAGCUCACCUGGAAUGCCUCUGGUUGCUGAAGGGCUGGAUGGAGACUCUGAGACAACCUGAUGGAUCAUCUCAUAAACAGAGCCUGCAGGAAGGAAAAGAAAAUUAUGCCAGCAUAAUGCACUUACGAGAAAUAGAUACGUGCGGUGCAGGGAGAAAUGCUUUGAUAUUAAAAUUUUUGUAACUUAAAAAGGCAUGAAAAAUGAUACCGACCACUAACUAAUCAACAUUCCUUUGCGAAUACAGCUUCAGUUCCUAACCAAAAACACAUCCCUGCUAUUGUCUUGUCUGGAUCCAGAUGCAAACAUGAUUAAUUAAGUUUCUGGUGAGGAGUGGGACGAGGGCAGUGGGAACUGAUGGCUUGCUGAGGAUCCUUUUCAUAUACAGGCCUGGGGAGAAUCCCUUAGUCUGGGUGCCUAUUUCCCUCCACAUGUCAGGGCUUACCCCGUGCACUGACAGCCACGGGGGCAGUGAGUAGGCUGCAGCCAGACCCAUGGAGUGAGGCAGUGAGAGGCUGAAAGGAGAGGCUCUACAGACAGUACAGGGAGGCUCUUGGUAUCUCCCAUUGCCACUGCACAGCACAGCACGGCAGAGUAGCAAACGCAUAUGCCAUGUCUUGUUGGGAGACCUGGGCCCUGCUCCAGACUGCUACCAAGUAGUUUGGGACCUUGGAUGAGCUGCCUCAAUUUCUCCAUUUGUGAAAUUGGGAGGUGACAGCGUGCUGGCAGCCCUCGCAGCCCUCGCUCUCGGCCUUGGUGCCUGCCUACUCUGGCCGCCCUUGAGGAGCCCUUCGGCCCACGGCUGCACUGUGGGAGCCCCUUUCUGGGCUGGCCAAGGCUGGAGCCAGCUCCCUCAGCUUGCCGGGAGGUGUGGAGGGAGAAGCGCGGGCAGGAACCAGGGCUGCUCAUGGGGCUUGCCGGCCAGCGCGAGUUCUGGGUGGGCAUGGGCUCAGUGCCUGCGCACUCUGAGCGGCCGGCAGGCCUGCGAACCCCGGGCAGUGAGGGGCUUAGCUCCUGGGCCAGCAGCUGCUGUGCUCAAUUUCUCGCCGGGCCUUAGCUGCCUCCCCGCGGGGCAGGGCUCGGGACCUGCAGCCCACCAUGCCUGAGCCUCCUCCCGCCGUGGGCUCCUGUGUGGCUGGAGCCUCCCCGAGGAGCACCGCCCCCUGCUCCACCGCUCCCAGUCCCUCAACCACCCAAGGGCUGAGGAGUGCGGGCGCAUGGCACGGGACUGGCAGGCAGCUCCACCUGCGGCACCGGUACCGGAUCCACUGGGUGAAGCCAGCUGGGCUCCUGAGUCUGGUGGGGACUUGGAGAACCUUGGUGUAGACACUCUGUAUCUAGCUAAUCUAGUGGGGAUGUGGAGAACUUUUGUGUCUAGCUAAGGGAUUGUAAAUACACCAGUCGGCACUCUGUAUCUAGCUCAAGGUUUGUAAACACACCAAUCAGCACCCUGUGUCUAGCUCAGGGUUUGUGAAUGCACCAAUGGACACUCUGUAUCUGGCUACUCUGAUGGGGACUAGGAGAACCUUUGUGUCUAGCUCAGGGAUUGUAAACGCACCAAUCAGCACCCUGUCAAAACGGACCAUUCAGCUCUCUGUAAAACAGACCAAUCGGCUCUCUGUAAAAUGGACCAAUCAGCAGGAUGUGGGUGGGGCCAGAUAAGAGAAUAAAAGCAGGCUGCCCCAGCCAGCAGGCACAACCCUCUCGCCUCACCUGCCGCAGUGUGGAAGUUUUGUUCUUUGGCUCUUUGCAAAAAAUGUUGCUGCUGUUCACUCAUUGGGUCUACACUACCUUUAUGAGCUGUAACACUCACUGGGAAGGUCUGCAGCUUCACUCCUGAAGCCAGCGAGACCACGAACCCACCGGGAGGAACAAACAAUUCCAGACGCGCCGCCUUAAGAGCUGUAGCAGUCACGGCCGGGCACGGUGGCUCACGCCUGUAAUCCCAGCACUUUGGGAGGCCGAGACGGGCGGAUCACGAGGUCAGGAGAUCGAGACCAUCCUGGCUAACACGGUGAAACCCCGUCUCUACUAAAAAUACAAAAAAAAUUAGCUGGGCAUGGUGGCGCACGCCUGUAGUCCCAGCUACACGGGAGGCUGAGGCAGGAGAAUGGCGUGAACCCGGGAGGCGGAGCUUGCAGUGAGUCGAGAUCGCGCCACUGCACUUCAGCCUGGGCGACAGAGCGAAACUCCGUCUCAAAAAAAAAAAAAAAAAAGAGCUGUAGCAGUCACAGCAAAGGUAUGCAGCUUCACUCCUGAGUCAGCGAGACCAGGAACCCACCACAAGGAAGAAACUCCGAACACAUCCGAACAUCAGAAGGAACAAAUUCUGGACACGCUGCCUUUAAGAACUGUAACACUCAGCGCGAGGGUCCCCUGCUUCAUUCUUGAAGUCAGUGAGACCAAGAACCCACCAAUUCCAGACACAAAAGGAGAGGUUGGAUUAAAUGUUCCUCAAAGUCUUCCAUUUCUGGCUUUUUAUUCCAGUGCCCAAAGUCCUUCACACAAAGCA